UAACGCGUGGGUAACCUGCCUUACACUGGGGGAUAACACUUAGAAAUAGGUGCUAAUACCGCAUAAGCGCACGAAGCCGCAUGGAUUUGUGUGAAAAACUCCGGUGGUGUAAGAUGGACCCGCGUCUGAUUAGCUUGUUGGCGGGGUAACGGCCCACCAAGGCGACGAUCAGUAGCCGGCCUGAGAGGGUGACCGGCCACAUUGGGACUGAGACACGGCCCAAACUCCUACGGGAGGCAGCAGUGGGGGAUAUUGCACAAUGGGGGGAACCCUGAUGCAGCGACGCCGCGUGAGUGAAGGAGUACUCCGGUAUGUAAAGCUCUAUCAGCAGGGAAGAAGCAAGACGGUACCUGACCAAGAAGCCCCGGCUAACUACGUGCCAGCAGCCGCGGUAAUACGUAGGGGGCGAGCGUUAUCCGGAUUCACUGGGUGUAAAGGGAGCGUAGACGGCCGAUCAAGUCUGGAGUGAAAGCCCGGGGCCCAACCCCGGGACUGCUCUGGAAACUGGUGGGCUAGAGUGCUGGAGAGGUAAGUGGAAUUCCUAGUGUAGCGGUGAAAUGCGUAGAUAUUAGGAGGAACACCAGUGGCGAAGGCGGCUUACUGGACAGUGACUGACGUUGAGGCUCGAAAGCGUGGGGAGCAAACAGGAUUAGAUACCCUGGUAGU
rnacentral:rRNA from 1 species